rnacentral:tRNA from 1 species
GAAGAGAUAGCUCAGUGGCAGAGCACAUGCUUAGCACGCACAAGGUCCUGGGUUCAAUCCCCAGUACCUCCA